GGAAUAUUGGUCAAUGGGCGAGAGCCUGAACCAGCCAAGUAGCGUGCAGGAUGACGGCCCUAUGGGUUGUAAACUGCUUUUAUGCGGGGAUAAAAUUCGUCACGUGUGGCGUUUUGCAGGUACCGCAUGAAUAAGGACCGGCUAAUUCCGUGCCAGCAGCCGCGGUAAUACGGAAGGUCCGGGCGUUAUCCGGAUUUAUUGGGUUUAAAGGGAGCGCAGGCCGACUGGUAAGCGUGACGUGAAAUGUAGCCGCUCAACGGCUGAGUUGCGUCGCGAACUGCCGAUCUUGAGUGAGUUCGAUGUAGGCGGAAUUCGUGGUGUAGCGGUGAAAUGCUUAGAUAUCACGAAGAACCCCGAUUGCGAAGGCAGCCUACAAGGCCUUUACUGACGCUAAAGCUCGAAGGUGCGGGUAUCGAACA
rnacentral:rRNA from 1 species